ACUCCGAUCGUCUAGUAGUCGCGUAUGUGAGGCGCAUUUCUCGAGGGUUAGCGUCGUGACCGAUGCGAAAGGCCAGUGAGACUGUCGGGGUUGAGGUGGAAUUCCCUUCGGGGUUUUCCUUACCAACUUGGCGGUAAUAAUCGCUGGACCGUAGUAGGCAUCGAGCGUCUAUAAUAAACAACGUUGGCGAUUAAAUUGCGCUCGCUUAGUAUACGAUGGAGAGUCGGCCUAUUAGUCGACGCCUGCUCGCAGGCGUUCGUUUAAUGGCUCGGUCGAUUUCGAAGUCGUCGGCGACGUACCAACGUUUAGGCGUCCACGGCGUCCGAGUCGGUUACCCGUCCGACCCGUCUUGAAACACGGACCAAGGAGUCUAACGUACGCGCGAGUUAAUGGGUGAAAAACCCAUAAGCGCAAUAAAAGUAAAAACUGUCUUCAGACAGUCGAGGUACGACACGAGGUCGUCAAUACCGCCCUAGUCGCAGUACCGUCCCGUCCCGACCGCUUGUCGGUAGGGCGGAGACAGAGCGUAUACGUUGGGACCCGAAAGAUGGUGAACUAUGCCUGAGCAGAGCGAAGCCAGAGGAAACUCUGGUGGAGGUUCGUA
rnacentral:rRNA from 1 species